rnacentral:rRNA from 1 species
AACGAACGCUGGCGGCAUGCCUAACACAUGCAAGUCGAACGAGACCUUCGGGUCUAGUGGCGCACGGGUGCGUAACGCGUGGGAACCUGCCUUUAGGUUCGGAAUAACUCCCCGAAAGGGGUGCUAAUACCGGAUAAUGUCUUCGGACCAAAGAUUUAUCGCCUUUAGAUGGGCCCGCGUAAGAUUAGGUAGUUGGUGGGGUAAAGGCCUACCAAGCCGACGAUCUUUAGCUGGUCUGAGAGGAUGAUCAGCCACACUGGGACUGAGACACGGCCCAGACUCCUACGGGAGGCAGCAGUGGGGAAUAUUGGACAAUGGGCGAAAGCCUGAUCCAGCAAUGCCGCGUGAGUGAUGAAGGCCUUAGGGUUGUAAAGCUCUUUUACCAGGGAUGAUAAUGACAGUACCUGGAGAAUAAGCUCCGGCUAAUUCCGUGCCAGCCGCCGCCGUAA